CUUGACAGUGGUUUACUUUUAAUUUAUUAUGUUAAUAUUUAUUUUUGUAAGGAGCAAUAUUUUAAAUAAUCUAGUGUGUGGUUCUUUGACCUUAAAUGUUCAGCUGCUAGGACAGGAUUUAAGUGACAGAGCUGACAUGAUGUCAUCUCUGUUUGUCGGUCAACAUUUGAGGUGAUGAGGGCGGCACAUGACCAGGAUGUAUGUCUUAUUGACCUUAUUUAUAAAAAUAAUAAUAUGUAUAAUAAUGUAUUUAUUUUUAGAGCACCUUUAAAAACAGUUUACAUCUUUAGUUUCAUUAUGAUUUUGAUGAUUUACCACACAGGCAGUUGAGAGUCACAGUAAAGUUCAGUCCAGCCUGCUGAGAUACGAAUCACAAAACAAAAGGUGAAACACCUGAAAACAAAGGAGAAGAAAUGGAGGAGGGACGGAGGACAGUGUGUUCUUUAGUGUUUAACGAUGAGUCGGUGCGUCUCGUCUCAAAGACGCACAGCAACCACAGAUUCAGACCCAUCGAUGAAGCUGCACAGGGUCUUAAAUAAGAGCUCCAGAAGUCCCUGAAGCCCUUACAGGAGAACCUAAAGGUCUUUGAACAAGUUAAAGGAAACUGAGCUCAAACAGCAGAAGGCAUCAAGGUCCAGGCCCGACACACAGAGGUGCAGAUCAAAGAGCAGUUUAAGAGCUUCAUCAGUUUCUACAAGAGGAAGAGGAGGCCAGGAUCUCUGCUCUGGGCAGAGAAAUAGCGGCACUUUCACAGUCAGAGCCACAGAGGAGGAUCAGACAGCUGAAGACGUCUCAAUCCUGCAGAACUACAAGGCUGAAGUGAAGAGAGUCCAGCAGCGCCUCCUGCUGGAGGAUCCACAGCUGGUCUCAGGAGCUCUGAUAGACCAGGCCAAACAUCUGGGCAACCUGAGCUUCAACAUCUGGAAUAAGAUGAGGGACACGGUCUCCUACACUGCUGUCAUUCUGGAUCUGAACUCUGCUCAUCCAGAACUCCUCCACUGUUUGUCUGUGAUGAUAACUGUGCUGAUGAUGAGGACUGUGGUGAUCAAGCAAUGUGUUCUCCCACUGAAGUUUAUCAGGAAAUAAUGUCUCUGCAACAGUGAAACUAAAAUGACCUGAUUGGACAGAGUCUCUUUGAUUACCUGCAUCCUAAAGACACUGGCGUAGUGAAGGAGCAGCUGUCCACAGCGGUUACCAGUACACAAGAAAGAAUCAUCGAUGCAAAAAGUAAUCAACGAUCAAGGGAGGAUGGGUGUCCUAACAGAGACUGGAACGAGGACAGGCGCUGGGAGGACUGGGCAGACGAUUGCAGAGGAACCGUUGGAAAUCCAGAGGAUGGACAUGUCCACUGUGAUCUCAGAGGGCCGGCCGGUGUUGGAGGAGAUGGUCUCAUCUGACGGGUGGAGAAUAUGGAUGAAGAGAAGAAAAGAGGCAACUGGUGUGAUCGUCUCUUGAGUGGCCUACAUAUAUGCCACCAAACAUAUUAUUGAUGAGGCUGGUUACUAUGACCGCACCAAUACACUGUUUCUUGAUACCCAUUUGUGUUAUUUUGAACAAAGGUUUCUUCUCUUUGCCACAAGAAGAGGUAAAGAAAGCUUUCAGGGAGUUACAACAAAAUAAGAGAAAUAUCAAAAGAUCUGUCCUGAUGUGAAGAACCUCUGUUAGUUUUCCUGUGCAGUCAUUAAGAUGUAGCCAGUCAUUAUUUGUCCAACAUAUGAUAAGGCUAUAAUAGUCUAAGGACAUAAAUCUCUCUGAUUGAUUCUUGUUUUGAAGGAUUUGCUUUUGGCAUUUAAUCUGUCUUUGGUUUUUGCUUCUGCACUAACUAGAUGAAGCAUAUAAUCUGUACUUACAGUUAGAGCCAAGUUGUGUUAAUUUUCAAAUUGCUUUACUUUUCAUUUAAUCCAAAUCUAAACCUGAUCAUGGCCGUAGACAAAAGCUCUUAUUGGGUUUGCUUCUGGACUCUGGUAUUCCCUUGGUACCAUCUGCACACCAGCAGCACAUUGUCUCGUUGACUUUUAUCCAUUGGGAAAAAGACACUAUGCAAUCCGUGAUCCAUUCUGGUUAAGACUUCCCUCUUC